CGCCUUUCUCCCUUGGGCUGUGGGUGGGAGGUUGGCGGGGGGGCGGUCCCUGUUCUUCUCAGCUAAGGCUGGAGGCCAAGAUCAGCCCUUGAGGACUGUCAUCAGAACUGCCUUGUUUUCCUGCCUCAGACGUGA
rnacentral:snoRNA from 1 species